CUCCUGUCACAACGGCUUCCUGGCGUGGCGGGCAACAUCCAAUGGAGCA
rnacentral:ncRNA from 10 species